AGCAGCCGCGGUAAUUCCAGCUCCAAUAGCGUAUAUUAAAGUUGUUGCAGUUAAAAAGCUCGUAGUUGAAUUUCGGGAUUGGCGCAUCGGUCGUGCCUCACGGGGUAUGAACUGGUGCAGUCAAUUUCUCACCUUCUGGAGAACCGCGAUGUCCUUAAUUGGAUGCCGCGGGGAACCAGGACCUUUACUUUGAAAAAAUUAGAGUGUUUAAAGCAGGCAUUUUUGCUUGAAUACAUUAGCAUGGAAUAAUAAAAUAGGACGGCAUGGUUCUAUUUUGUUGGUUUCUAGGACCACCGUAAUGAUUAAUAGGGAUAGUUGGGGGCAUUAGUAUUCAAUUGUCAGAGGUGAAAUUCUUGGAUUUAUUGAAGACUAACUACUGCGAAAGCAUUUGCCAAGGAUGUUUUCAUUAAUCAAGAACGAAAGUUAGGGGAUCGAAGACGAUCAGAUACCGUCGUAGUCUUAACCAUAAACUAUGCCGACUAAGAAUCAGACGAUGUAAUUUUUAAUGUA
rnacentral:rRNA from 1 species